UCGUUAUUCCACUUUCAUCUGCAUCAAGUAUCCAUAAAGAUUCUAAAUUUCCCAAGUUCUCUGGCAAUCCACCGAGAUUCAAGCAUUUACUUACGACAAGCAUUCUAAGAUGUAUGAGAUUGCAAAUAGUGUCAGGAAGACUUGAAAGUUUGAAGCAUCCACUGAAAUCAAGCUGAUAUAGACAUAUCAACUCACCAAUGCCACUUGGAAUACUCUUGAGGUUCUUGCACGAUUUCAACUUCAAUGCAUGGAGCUGAGAGAGGCAUCCAUUUAACGAAGUUGAGGGAAUUUUAACCAAAUUUAUACAUUUAGAGCAAUCCAAUAGUUCCAAUUUCCUUAAUUGAUUUAUGGAGGAUGGCAGUUUCGUUAUUCCACUUUCAGCUGCAUCAAGCCUCUUCAAAG
rnacentral:misc_RNA from 1 species